rnacentral:misc_RNA from 1 species
GAUGAAGAACGCAGCGAAAUGCGAUAAGUAAUGUGAAUUGCAGAAUUCAGUGAAUCAUCGAAUCUUUGAACGCACAUUGCGCCCCCUGGUAUUCCGGGGGGCAUGCCUGUCCGAGCGUCAUUACAACCCUCAAGCUCAGCUUGGUGUUGGGCCCCGCCGCCCCGGCGGGCCCUAAAGUCAGUGGCGGUGCCGUCCGGCUCCGAGCGUAGUAAUUCUUCUCGCUCUGGAGGUCCGGUCGUGUGCUCGCCAGCAACCCCCAAUUUUUUUCAGGUUGACCUCGGAUCAGGUAGGGAUACCCGCUGAACUUAGGCAUAUCAAUAAGCGGAGGGA